CUUCCAUCUCUGCUCCAGUCACACCCUAGUGUCGCCAACCGCCUCUCAACAACCGUGCUCCAGUCCAACUCAAACCACU